AUUACAAAUGGGCACAACCUCUUAGCAGCAGUUUCCCUAGGCUUUCUGACUUUUUCACAAUGCUUGGUUUCUUCAUGCAAAUGGCACACUUAUCACAGCCUCUUUAAAGCACCAUAGAAAGGGACGUGUCUCCAUACAGAUUCAAAUUGGCCAACGAAAAAGUGCACCAGACAGGACUUCUGCUGCAUCCACAGAGAAGUGACUGAAGCAAAGGCAAUUUAGACUUACCAGGAAUGUAAACAGUUGAAAAAAAUAACAUCACAACUGAGGAAAUUUUCACUUCAUAUAUUUCCUUCAUUGGCAUACACAAGGUGUUUCAGAUCAGGAAACCAUGAGCUGGUUUUCUCCAAUUCUGGAAAACUGGAUCAGUUUUCCUUUUUUGGAAGAAUAUCUGACCUCAGUGGUUCACCCUUUGUGGUUACUUAUGCUUCUGAUUUUACUUUAUUCACCAAAGGUAGGGUUUUUUAAAUUUCUCUGUGCUUUCUCAUUUCUGUUGCAUAUUUACAAGAAGAUGAAUAACCAGCAAGAAAGUGAUAGCAAACUUUGGGAGAAACCAAGGAAACUUGUUGCUCUAGUUUCUGAUAUAGUUGGAAAGAUAUGCUUUGGUUAUGAAGUUAUUGGCAUGGAACAUAUCCCUAAAGGACCAGGGGUUAUUGUUUAUUAUCACGCAGUCACUUCUACUGACUAUUCCCUUUUAUUGGGUAAACUUUUUAAGGAGACACAGAGAAAGUGCUAUUCAGUAGUUGAUCAUGCCGUAUAUCACAUACCAGGUAAAUUAUUCAAUUUAAAUCAUGCUCUUUUUUUUACAAAAAAUGUGUGAAUUAUUACAUAAAACAAUGCUAUAAAAUAUAAAACCAUUUUAUCAGGCAAACAGGUGAAAAACAACAGACAAAUAAAAUAUCAGCAAGAGGUGAAAUAGUAAGUUGGUAGAGAGGAAGGUUCUUUCUCACCAAGACUUUACAGAAUGAAUGCAGGAUGAACCAUUAUUUCCAAACAAACAAACAAAAAAUCCUUCCAGCAGCACCUUAGAGACCAACAAAGUUUGUCAUUGGUAUGAGCAUUGGUAUGCAUGCACAUGAAAGCUUAUACCAAUGACAAACUUAGUUGGUCUCUAAGGUGCUACUGGAAGGAUAUUUUUUUUUUGCUUUGACUAUGUCAGACCAACACAGCUACCUACCUGUAACUAGCAUUAUUUCCAAAUCAUUCCUUAAUUAUUAAAUUUGUACGUUUCUGAGCACAGUUCAAAGUGUUGGUGCUGACCUUUUAAUCCCUAAAGGGCCUCGGUCCAGUAUACCUGAAGGAGCGACUCCACCCCCCAUCGUUCUGCUCGGACACUGAGGUCCAGUACCAAGGGCCUUCUGGCGGUUCCCUUGUUGCGAGAAGCCAAGUUGCAGGGAACCAGGAAGAGGGCCUUCUCGGUGGUGGCGCCCGCCCUGUGGAAUGCCCUCCCACCAGAUGUCAAAGGGAAAAACAACUAAUUUUUAGAAGACAUCUGAAGGCAGCCCUGUUUAGGGUGGCUUCCAACAGAAAAAUGGAAUAAAAUCUAUUUUUCUGUUGGAAGCCACCCAGAGUGGCUGGGGAAACACAGCCAGAUGGUCGGGGUACAAAUAAAUUAUUAUUAUUAUUAUUAUUAUUUAGCUUCCUUCAAGUGUCUGUAAAUCAAAUUUAACAAGCCAAAUAAAAAUAUAGUUGGAAAGGAAGUUCCCUAAGACAGGAAGAAUCAGGUCACCCCAUUUUCCCGGCCAUGUUUACAGGCAGCACAGCCUCAGAGAAAAGGACUAGAAGGAAUAGUUCUUCCUUGUUCCUAGAAUCGUGGGCACUUGACUUGACAAGCACACAAUGGCCCAACCAGCUCAGUGUCCACAGUAAUGUGCAUGUGCAGCCCAAAUGGUACCCUCAAUGACCCAACACAAGACACUGCAAGGGGAUCAAAGAGUGCCCUUAACUGAAUACACUAUGGUUCUUUACCCCACCAUCUCCUAACAUGUUUCCUGCCUGGACUAACAGCCACUGGAGGAGAACAGCACCAGCUAGUUCACCUCCUGCCAAGAACAAUCAUGAGCUCAAAAAGAGCUCUUUGCAGAUCAAGCAAGAAAUAAUUGCAGGCUUCAUUUUAUAGCGACAAAAAUGAGGAAGAUCAUGAUGGAUGUGACCAUGGGGAAUGUAAGCCGAAAUAAAACUCUUAACCAAGUGUUGAUCUUUCAUUGUACCCUACCCAUGCUGUUGGGGCAAUCCAAUCAAAGCAUGCCUCACUUCAUUUCCCAGUGACAAGUUUCCCUGACAGAUUCCCAUCUGAGUUACAACAGUGGAUGAGCCAAGAAUGAGAUGGAGUGUCCACACAAAAAAGGAAGUUGGGAGCUGCAGGCUUGCUUUUGGCCAUUUACAGCCUCAACCUCUUCUUCCAAUAAUGUUUCAGGCAUCUUAUUUGAAUCAGGCUAUGAUUCCAAUAAAGCAUGUCGACCUGGGUCUUUUGGCCCAUGAUCACAGAUUGCAGGAAUACCUUAUCUGACCUCAAAACAGCUAUGAGGGUACUUUUUUUUGUACUCUAAUAAUCACAAGGCAUUUCCUGUGCUUCCAUGCAGAAAAUCCGUGUUUAGUUGUAUCACUGUCUACAGGGAUCCAAAAAAUAGGGCCAUCUAGAUAUUGUGACAUCUGAUUUUUGUGCUGUGACUGCAGAUAAUUGCUGCUGACUUUAAUGCCAGAAGAGGACAAGGUGUAGGAAAUAGGGUCUCUAACUUGAUGAUUUCUUCAGGUACAAAGAUACCAGAAAACAUGGCCCCACCCGAACACAUGGCCAAUCAAGCACUUCCACACCCAUCUUUUAUGCCCCCAUGUGACACUGCAAUCAAACACAUGUGGCACCCUUGCUGUAGUGUUCAUGGCCCUCUGCUGCCACUCCAUACCUGCCAAGUUCCUGCCCGAGAAAUAAGGGACCGGAUUGGAAGUAGAAGAC